ACAGACAGACAGACAGACAGACAGACAGACAGACAGACAGACAGACAGACAGACAGACAGACAGACAGACAGACAGACAGACAGACAGACAGACAGGCUUUGUCUUCAGCAGUAGGGCCAACUGAAAGGUAGACAGACAGACAGACAGACAGACAGACAGACAGACAGACAGACAGACAGACAGACAGACAGACAGACAGACAGACAGACAGACAGACAGACAGACAGACAGACAGACAGGCUUUGUCUUCAGCAGUGGUGCCAACUGAAAGGUAGAGACACACAAAGCAGUGUGCCAGACUGAAGGGUGUUUGAGAUGGAGACAGACACACAAAGCAGUGUGUCAGACUGAAGGGAGUUUGAGAUGGAGACAGACACACAAAGCAGUGUGUCAGACUGAAGGGAGUUUGAGAUGGAGACAGACACACAAAGCAGUGUGUCAGACUGAAGGGUCUUUGAGAUGGAGACAGACACACAAAGCAGUGUGUCAGACUGAAGGGCGUUUGAGAUGGAGACAGACACACAAAGCAGUGUGUCAGACUGAAGGGAGUUUGAGAUGGAGACAGAUAGACCUUAAACUGAACACCC
ensembl:lncRNA